rnacentral:lncRNA from 10 species
GGAUCCCUGGGCAUAGUCGCUUGUUCUCCGCCCGCGGUGGACCAGCUGCGUAACGGUUCACACACUGAUGGCGCCUGGAGGUUUGGCGAAAUACUGACAGGAUGCGACGUCAACGGGAGCGCAGGGCCAAGAUACCCUUUAUAUCAAACCGUCUAUCCUGGAGCAGAAAAAUCCUGUCUUCAUUGCUAUAGCUACAGAUUCAGAAAUGAGCAUGUAACAAAUUCAGGCCAAAGAGAGGCAAUGGAAAUCAGAGAAACACUGUUCCUGAAAGCUUCUGUCACUCAAGAAUCCAUGAAACAUUCAUGAACUUCACAUCAGAAGCCAAGCCCAGAAAAUAUGGGUUUAAGGUUUGCCUAUAUGUCCAAUACAAGAGAAAAAAGAACAUUCCACUUCUUUAGAAGGUUCUACUUUGAUCUCCUGAUUCCAGUUGUGAAAAAAAAUUGUGCCUAAAGAAUAUAGUCCCUUUAUAGAAUUGUUUUGAAACCUACCACAGGUAUUUCUACACAGAUUUUAAUGCAACUUGUUACACAAGAUGAACCCAAACAUAUUUGACUUUUUAUUUUCAGAAAAGCUUAAUACAUAGUUUUGAAUAUGGAUUGUCCCACAGGAUAAAUGCAUGAAAAAAGUUGGAAAAGAGAAAUUGAAUUACAUCCUAAUUGUAGUGUUUUCUCAGGCAGAUCAAUUUUAGAAAGAGAACAUUGACUUGGAAAACUGAAGAGUAAUUAUUCUAAAACGGUUGUAACAGUUUACUCCUUUUAUGUUUGCAAACUUCCAGGAUUAGUGAGUUGCAUAAAGUCACAUAAUUUAUUGCGUUGGUGCAAAAGUAAUUGUGGUUUUUGCCAUUAACAAAACCGCAAUUACUUUUGCAUCAGCCUAAUAUAAGUGAAUAAAUUAAUAUUAGAACACAGGUCUAAUUAAAAGGUUCUGCUGUGUUGUGUCCUGUGAUAACACAGAAAACAAACAAAUGGAUAAUUACAGAAAAAUUUUGGAUAUAAAAUUAGCAGGUAAUUUUCUCCCUCCUUUCCUUCCAUCUUUCCAUCCUUCUUUGCUUCCUUUGCUUUCUUCUUUUCCUUUGUUUUUUGUUUCUCUCUCUCUCUUUUUUUUUUUUUUUUUUUUUUUUUGCAAUUUGGAGAAGGAAGUACUUUAAAAGAAAAGUUAAAAGGCAGACAUAGAUAGCAUGAAGCCUAAUUGCAAGAUCUUUUUCAAACAUAUUAGUUUUAGGAAAUAGCACCUGAAUUUAAGUCCCUUAAAAUUGUCUAUGUCUUCACGUCCAAGUCUCUAUAUUUGCAGGGCUGUGUACAAUCUAGACUGAACAUGCUUGACCUAAAAACAGAAGUAAUACCUGGGGCAAAGCACGAUGUGCACCACAGUCUUCUCUCUUUAGUGUGUUAAGAUAAAGUUGAUUCCCAGAGUAGCCUGCCAUCACUAACUCUGAGGGAUGGUGGGCUAAUUUUGAUAGAAGGAGCAGAGGUGGUAGUUAGGAGGAAGGUGACUCAUCAUCAUUGUAUCAGCAGGCAUUGAUGACUGGAAAUAUCAGGGGGCACAGCCUGAAAGAGAAUGGCUUAAUUGGAAUUGAUAGUGGGAACUUGGAAAUCAAUACAUAUGCACUGAACAGAAAAUGGUAUGCUAUAAUCUACUAUACACUGUAUGUGAAACCCAAGCUCCAAAUUUUUCGGCCCAUGCAAUGUCCAGUAAAAUUUCUCUUAGUUACAUUAUAAUUGCAAUGUACAUGUAUUUGAGGAAAAAAAAAGUGAAAGAAAAAGUAACUAAAGAAAAGUGGAAAUGCAAAACUUUGUUUUUAUUAAUGUUAAAAUUUAUUUUGAUCAACUUGCUAUUCUUAAAAUUGACCAAUCUUCUUCCCUUCCUUGCCUCUUCCAUGGUUUAUAGGAUUAUUUUUCAGGGCUGAUCAGUUGGUGUUACAUGUGACUACUAUGCUUAAUGCUAUCUGGCUUCUAACUUUAAGCACUGAAAAAAAGUCCUUCGUAUUUCUCAGUGUGUGAUUGAACUGAGAUGACCAUCCUAAGCCUCCUCAUUACAUAAAUCCUUACCUUCUCCAGAAGCAACGAAUGGUGUUGAGAAUAGCAUAUGUUACUACUCAGCCAUAUUCCAUAGCCUUUUCUCCAAGAUAUUUUUCCAAAGUUGCCCCUUUUCUGAAUCCCUUGCAAGCAAACAAACAACAAAACAAUGGGUAAUAAAAUAAUUGUUUAACUUUCAUUUAUAUGCUCUGAGAUUGAUGUGAUUUUGAUAAAUAACUAUAUUAAAAGACAAAUGGGAGUGGUGAUUUUGUGAAAAGCCCAUGCCUCUGCCCAUGGAAUAUGUGGCUUGGCCUGGAGCUCUUAUUUUACUUAUAUAUUUCUAAGCAGAAUUAUUCAAGAAUGUCUCUUAUUACAGGUCUUGAAACUUGGACAGCCAACAGAAAGGAAGCUAAUAAAUAAAUUUGUCAGAACACGAUUCUCAGUUUCACUUAUUUUGAAUUAAAGGUAACCUGGAAAAUGGAUUAGGAAAACAGCCUAUAAUCAGAGGAGUGACCCCAGUGAGACCCUGUCAUUAAAACUUUAGUGUUGAGCCUGCAAACCUCUGUUCCUCUGAUUAGGCAAUUUACUCCAUUUCCACCUUUCUGUCUGCCAAAACAUUUAGUGGCAAAACAUUUUCUAAUUCUCUAGACUCAUAAAAUGUUGUUUUGAAAAAAAGUAAAACAGAAUGGAUUACCUUUUUAAGCUGUCUAUCAUAAUGUAAUCAGAAAACAUGAGGGAUUAAUAGAUAAUAUUGUAAAGAGGCAAAGGCAGCAGAUGUUAUUUAGAUGAGCAGAAGGUCACAGACCUCUGUUGAGGAUUGAAAGCUUGAGGUACGUGCCUUUGUUCCUCAGUGUGUGUGGAUCAGAGUGAUUACUGAUAUCAGUUAGCAACAUGGUGGAGGGGACAAACUGGGGCUGCAUUUUCACUAUGUUUAUUAUUGCUCAAGGUCAAAAAGUGACUGUGUAGUGCCUCAGUUUUUACAUCUUUGUGUUAUCAAUAUUUUUUUCUAUUACCUUACAAGUUUAUUUUGAUGCUGUAAUGAUGAGACAGUGUUUUGAAAAGUUCUAAAUAAAUAAAAGGGUAUUCUCUAACUUUUAAAUUCUGACUUUGAUAUUUUAAAACUAUAACAGAGUUUCAAAACAUAUGGAGAAAAAACCCAAAUAGAACUCAAAAGAGAAAUGGACAAAUCCGUAAUUUCCAUCAUUAUUAGGGAUUUCAACAUUCCUCUUCCAGUAAUUAAUAAAACAAGCAGACAGAAGUUUAGAAAAACUAUGCAAGACUUGAACAUACUGUUAACCAAAUUGGCCCAGUCCUCCAAUAGUGGAAAUAAAAUGAAAUACUAAAAUAGUCAAACAAAAGGAAGACAGGACAAGAGUUGAACAAGGAUAAAGAAUAGGUGUGACAAAUGAUACAAAUAACAAUCUGGUAAAGUGAAAACCAGCCAUAUCAAUAAUAUAGUAAAGGAAAAUAGUCUAAAUAGAACGGAAAUGUUUAAGAUUUGAAGACUGGAUAUAAACCAAGCUUCAAUGUGAUGAUAUAUACAAGACAGAUAUUAUAAACAUAAAGAUAUAAAAAAUUAAAAAUAAAAGUGUGAAAAUCUAUAUGAUACAAACACUAACCAUAAGAAUGCUGGAGUGGCAUAUUAUAUCAGACAAAGAGAGUAUUAAAGUAGAUAUAGAAGAACAUUACAUAUUGAUAAAAGAAAAUGCCAGUUAGGUCAAGUUAUUGAUGGUAUUUAUCA